GUGCCAGACUGACAGCCCUUUCAAUUCAAUCAGCAAUAAAAGAUGCAGCAUAGGCAACAGCAAUGCAAGCUUCCCCACAGUGUCUUGCCAACAUAUCUCAGCAAUAACUUGCAUUUCUACCAUGGGCAAAUGAUAAAUCAGUUUGGUCUCCAAACUCAUGCAGUCCUGAGCUUCU
rnacentral:sRNA from 1 species